ACAAAAUAUAAUCUAAGGAUAAAUUUGUCACAAGUUUGAAAUUAAACUAGAAUUUAAAUUUGAAUUUGGAAAAAAAGGAAAUGGAAAAUAAAAAGAAAAGAAACACCCCUUGGUCGGAUGGGCCAAAUCCACCCGGCCCAUCUCACUCUCCCCUCUAUACGGCCCACCUUGGCCCUACGCUCGCGCAAACGUGCCUAACACAGACACGCGGUCCCACCACACAUGCCUAUCGUGUGAUCCCCCACGUGCACUUGAGUCCACCUGCAGCCUCUAUCCCCGUCGGACACCCUUUCCAGUGCAUGAGCAUGUGCGCGCCUGGGAGACCUCUCACUGCUCAUGGGGCCCACAAGACUGCGUCUCGUACCAAGCUUGCGCACUCAAUGCCGGGUGGGGCCCACCUGUCGGGUCCUCUUCCCUGUUGAACCGGAAGCCGCCUGGGCGCUGGGUUGUUGAGAUUCUGCCUGAUCUCCGGACCGGCCGCCGCCAGACCAGGGGAUCCUCAGCCGGCGCUCGUAAAUGAUCCGGGGGGGCAUCGCAUGUGGCCGCGUGAAGUGCAGGGUCUCCUUGACCGAAUCGCCGCCAUUGCCGCAGCUCCGCCGAUGCCUGCGGACGUCCCAACCGCCUCCCCGCAGUAAUGAAAUAAGAGCUGAUCGUCUGCGCGCCCAUCUCGCUAUAGUUUAGACGCCAUCGCCAACAGAGUGUCUCGCUGGUGAGAGAAUCGCCGAGCGCCGCCAACAGCCGGGGCGGGGUAGAGGAGAAAAGUUGUGCGCCGCCGCGGGUUAGCUCGGCUCACAUCGCCGUUUGUGCCCUCGGUUGCUGGCCGGGGGUCCUCCCUGUGUCUCUUGGGGGAUGCCCGGGGCCUCGUCGGGUGAAGUUGACACCUGUGGUGCUUGGAAUUGCUCGCCAGAACCGAGCGGAUUCGGCGAACCCGCACCGUGCCGCGAACGACUACGCUCGACCUCUCAAUCACCGGUAAAUACUACCUUCGUAUUUUCGCGCUAGUUCGUCCUUCCUCUUGCGCUGGUUCAGUCGUGGUUUGGUGCACCCUGAACACGUAUCCACUACACCGGCGAGGUUGGGGAAUGGCGCCGCCAUGUGGAGACCUGGCCACCGCGUGUUGGGGAAUUAGGCGAGGGAGAGAGCUUGUCCGUUCGUCCAGGAUCAAACGGCGUGGAUUAGAUGCAGCUGGACGGUAGGUCGUUGUGCGCUACGCCAUUGGAUGUAAGUUGGGCGGCUCAGAUCUGAUGGAGAGCACCGUUUCAGACAGGGUAGCGUGGAUCGUUCGAUUUGAUCGGAGGGCUGUGGUUGGGGCACAUCUUCGUUAAACCUCGACCACAGAUCUCAGAUCGUGCGCACCAGAACAGAUCGCGACAUUUUAAAAUCGGGGGCCAUCGGAUCGUGAUCCAGUGGCCCAUAAUGCACCGUACCCCUUCGGUUGCGCGUUUUACAGAAAAAACCCGCAGAAUUACACAAACAACCCGCGGUCCACGGCAAUGUUAGCCUGAGUCUUAGGACAUUUCCCGUGGACGCCCCUGCGCAUUUCUGUAAUUGAGGCCCAGUCCAGAGAAUGUUAAAAUCAGGGAAAAGAUAUAGAAAAUGAGUUUUUAAUGUGAAAACAAUUCAUAGAAUUUGUAUAAUUCAUAGAAAAUGCAUACGAACUCCAAAUUGGUCCAUUCCAGUUCCUAAAUUUUCAUAAUGUUAUUGUCUAUCCAUUUGUGCCACUGUUUUGGCAUGAAAGACUCAUUUAAAUUUAUCUAAUAUUUAAUCUUGUAUUAAGUACAUAAAAGCUUCAGAAAUUCAUAUCUUAAAAUCUAUAACUCCAAAAUUAAUAAUUCCAGUUCCCAUGAUCUCAUUUUAGUGUCUAGAUUAUUACUGUAUAUUUUAUUCACAUGCUUGGUGUAAUGUUAAUUUUUGCUAUAUUAUGUAUGUGUUGCGUUGAUGCGAGUAGACGAGCAAGCUGCAGAGGAUCCUGAGGUUCAACAAGUAGAGAUAGCUGAGCAGGAGCUCAUUGAAGGCAAGUUGUGCUCUUGAUCACUUCUUUUACCUAUUCAUGUUCUUAUUAUUCAUAAUGAUCUGCAUAGGAUAAUUUUGCUGGGACCCAAUAGGUUACCCUAGAUUUUGACUAUCUUUAUACCUUGUUGAAACACUGGUUUUACUACUAAAGUUUUGGGUAGUACAUGCUAUUGCUUUAUAUGGUUUUGGGUAUAGAGGUAUUCACUACUCAUGAUUACACUUGUUAUUAUUUGUUCAUUAUUCUAUGUUCAUGAUAAGAUCAUUAUGUUAAUGGGAACAUGGAGAACCACCCGAGAAAACAGUGCUACCACAAGGGUAUAAUGGGACGCCCUUGGCUGAUUAACUAGGAAAGCUAGUGGAGGGCUACCUUACCCGAAAGGGGCAAGGGCAGUAGGGGAGUGGUCAGUGUAGGGAGGUCCUUGGUUGAUUUUGCUGCGAUGGCGGUCAGGCAAGAACCCUGCACUGGAGCUUCCUAUAAACUGUAGCGGGUAGUCUGAAGCUAGUGGAACUUUGUAAAGGCCUCGUAGUGGUACCCUGCCUCGCUUCCUUGGUAGAGGUGUAUGGAGUCUGAUCAACUCUGUGGCAAAUGGGUAACACGACUUGUGGGUAAAGAUGCGCAACCUCUGCAGAGUGUAAAACUGGUAUACUAGCCGUGCUCACGGUCAUGAGCGGCUCGGACACUCACAUGAUUAAUUUAUGGAACUUAAACUUAAUCUGUCAUUUCAUUACAUGUGGGAUUAUUUUAUUAUUACUUUUAUUUAUAUUUACUAUGGUUUGGUAUUUACUUACACUUAGUAAUUGCUAAUAAAAUUUUGACCAACUUAUAAAAGCAAUGCUCAGCUUCAGCCUCUAUUUCAUUGAUCAGCCUUACACUUCAUGAACUCCCACCUUUGGUGAGUUCAUGCCACAUUAUUCCCCACAACUUGUUGAGCGAUGAACGUAUGUGAGCUCACUCUUGCUGUCUCACACCCCCCCACAGGAGAAGAACAGGUGGUUCAGGAGGAGCCACAAGGCGAGGAGUAUGAUCUGAUCUAGGUGGCGUUUCUCAGUUGACAUUGGCGCCGACGAUCCUUAGUUCGUUUUAUGUUUAUUCUUUUAUUUUGUAUUAAGUCUUCCGCUAUGUAAUAAAUACUCUGAUGUUUUAUGACAUUUAUCUCUAUACACUCUGUUAUUGUAUAUGUUGUCUUCUUGGCGCAUGUAUGAGAUGCACCCGGCUUUGUUCCUUAAAGCCCGGGUGUGACAGAAGUGGUAUCAGAGGAAAUGUUGACUGUAGGACGAAACCUAGAUAGAAAUGGACAAGACCCCUACCUACUUACCUUAUUCUGAUUCAUUCUAUACUUACCUUACUCUGAUUCUCUCUAUACUUAUCUUGAUCGUGUCUCACCUUCUACUGUUCUACUCUGAUUACUCUUAUCUUUUCUACUCUAAGACAUGAUGGAUUUCACAUCUUGGAAUCCUACACUUAUGACAUUUUUAAGAGAUAGGAGGCCUAAGACAAAAUUAUAACUAUUUUCUAUAUUUAAAAAUGUUGGUUGAUUGUUCUGAUGAUCAAUGCCUGAUUUGCUUCUUUGAUUGAGUGAAAUAGUAUAGACGGGCAUCUUAGCAUGUACCACCAUAAGGUAAUGAAUUAGCUUUAGUAGGCAACACGCUUAGCUAAUGAAUCCCCCAAAGUAACAUAAUUCCUAAUCACCUGCCUUGUCUACAAUCCUUUCUUUCUCACCCUGUGUUUCUAACCCAGAUGGGCGACCCCUAUAGUGUUAGAAGAGAGCACUAUAGACGUGAUCCUUGGUAUGUCAUGGUUGAGAAAGGCAAAGGCAGUACAUACACUGUGCUAAGGGAACCGUAGAACUCAUCAGUUUCAAAGGACAAAGAUUUGAAGUUGAAGUUGCAGUAACUACCACCAUCAGACUAGCGGCAUUCUUAAUAGAUGAGAAGUUUGUGGGUGAUAACAUCUGUGCAGUUAGGGAUUUCCCGGAUGUCUUUCCAGAGGAGUUAUUAGGGAUGCCGCCAGAUAUGGAAGUUGAGUUGGUCAUUGAUCUCUUACCUGGGACUGCUCCUAUUUCUAAACGGCCAUACAAGAUGUCCAUAGAAGAACUAAAGGAAUUUAAGAAGCAAUUAAUGGAAUUACAAGAGGCUGGGUACAUUCGUUUGGAUUCUUCACCUUUGGGGAGCACCGGUUCUGUUUGUACAGAAGAAAGGUGGAUCAUAAAGGAUGUGAGUGGAUCACUGUGGAGAACAAGUAUCCAUUACCCCGCAUUGAGGAUUUAUUUGAUUAGAUGAGAGGUGCAAGGGUAUUCUCGAAGAUUGAUCUCUGAUCGGGUUACCGUCAAAUGAAGAUUAGGCCAUCAGAUAUUCCCAAGACGAUUUUAUCCACCCGAUAUGGUUUAUAUGAGUUCACCGUUAUGUCAUUUGGACUAACCAAUACACCAGCCUAUUUUAUGGAUCUGAAGAAUAAAGUGUUCGUGGUUUGGACAGGUUUGUCGUGGUCUUCAUCGACAAUAUUCUUAUUUAUUCCAAGAGUGACAGUGAUCAUGAGAACUAUCUGAGAAUGGUGCUACAGAAGUUGCGAGAUAAUCAACUCUACGCCAAGUAUAGCAAAUGCGAGCUUUGGAUUGGCAAGGUGCCAUUUUUUUGGACAUAUCAUUUCUAAUGGAGGGAUUUCAGUGGAUCCUGCUAAAGUCAAGGAGAUAGUGGUGUGGAGCAUACCCACUAUAGUUAUGGAGAUUCGGAGUUUCUUGGGACUUGCAGGAUAUUACGGAGAUUUAUUAAAGGAUUUUCUAAGAUUGCUAAGAUCAUGACCUCGUUUCUGGAGAAGGGAAGAGAGUUUAAGUGAGAUGAGAAGUGCCAAGAAAGCUUUGAUCAAUUGAAGGAGAGAUUGAUGUCACCUCCAGUGUUGGUUAUGCCAGACGUACAGAAAGGAUUUGAUAUUUAUUGUGAUGCAUGUGGCCAAGGAUUAGGAUGUGUGCUCAUGCAAGAAGGACAUGUGAUCGCCUAUGCGUCUCGUCAGUUGCGGAAACAUGAAUUGAACUACCCCACUCAUGAUUUAGAGCUGGCAGCAGUUGUGCAUGCUCUUAAGAUUUGGAGACAUUACAUUAUGGGAACUAAGUGCCAAGUAUACACGGAUCAUAAGAGUUUGAAGUAUAUAUUCACUCAGAAGGAUCUCAACCUCAGACAACGUCGUUGGUUGGAGCUCAUCAAGGAUUAUGAUUUGGAGAUUCACUAUCACCCGGGCAAGGCGAAUUUGGUUGCAGAUGCCUUGAGUCGGAAAGAGCAUGUUCACUCCGCUUUUGUCGUCUAGCUACCUGAUGAAUUAGCAAAAGAUUUUGAGAGACUCAACUUGGGGAUUGUUACACACACUGAAGGAGUCACCAUCGAGUUGGAACCUACCUUGGAGCAAGAGAUUCGUAAAGGUCAGGUUGGUGAUGCUAAGAUUCAAGAGAUUAAGGAUCUGAUUACGGAAGGUCGAGUUCCGGAAUUCACGGAGGAUGAGCAAGGUACUAUAUGGUUCAAAGAUCGGAUAUGUGUUCCAGAGAUUCAUAGCCUUCGUGAGACGAUAUUGAAAGAAGCUCAUGAUUCUGAUUAUUCUAUCCACCCUGGUAGCACUAAGAUGUAUCAGGAUUUGAAGCAAAAGUAUUGGUGGUAUGGACUGAAAAGAGAUGUUGCUGCCCAUGUGGCUAAGUGUGAUGUGUGUCAAAGAGUCAAGGCCGAACAUCAAAGACCAGCUGGAUUAUUGCACCCCUUGAAGAUACCCGAGUGGAAAUGGGAAGAAAUUGGUAUGGGUUUCAUUGUUGGACUACCCUGCACUCCUGCUGGGUAUGACUCUAUUUGGGUAAUUGUGGACAGACUGACAAAAGUGGCACAUUUCAUACAAGUGAGGACUAAUUACACGGGAGCCAAGCUAGCAGAAUUGUAUAUGACUCGGAUAGUUUGUCUACAUGGAGUGCCUAAGAAGAUCGUGUCUGAUCGAGGAUCACAGUUUACUUCUCGGUUUUGGAAGAAGUUGCAUAAGAGCUUGGAUACAAAGUUGAAUUUUAGUUCAGCCUACCAUCCUCAGACUGAUGGACAGACAGAGAGGACUAAUCAAGUACUGGAAGAUAUGUUAAGAGCUUGUGCUCUUAAACAUGGUGGAAGUUGGGAGAAGAGCUUACCAUAUGCUGAGUUCUCUUACAAUAAUAGCUAUCAGGCCAGUUUGAAGAUGUCACCGUUUGAGGCUUUAUAUGGCAGAAAGUGCAGGACUCCAUUAUAUUGGGAUCAGACUGGUGAAAGGCAGUUCUUUGGGCCUGAACUUAUACAAGAGGCAGAAGAACAAGUUCGAAUGAUAAGAGAAAAUUUGAGAAUUGCACAAUCCAGGCAAAAGAGCUAUGCUGAUAACAGGAGAAGACUACUGGAAUUUGAGGAGGGUGAUCAUGUCUAUUUGAAGGUGUCACCACUCCGGGGUAUGAGAAGAUUCAAAGUCAAAGGAAAGUUGUCCCCUCGCUUUAUUGGACCCUUCUUAAUCUUAAAGCGAGUGGGAGAGGUUGCAUACCAAUUGGAGUUACCGGAUCAUCUUGCGGAUGUACAUGAUGUAUUUCACGUGUCUCAGCUAAAGAAGUGCCUCAGGGUACCUGAGGAGCAACUACCACUGGAGGACCUCAGUGUUCAAGAUGAUCUGACUUAUGCUGAGUACCCAAUCAAGAUUUUGGACACUUUGACUCGAGUUACAAGGAAUUAGGUGAUAAAGAUGUGCAAAGUCCAAUGGAGUCACCACGGUGAAGAUGAAGCCACUUGGGAAAGAGAAGAAGAGCUUCGUAUAGAUUUUCCCCACCUUUUCCCUCGUUCUUCCUAAAUCUCGAGGACGAGAUUAUUUUUAAGGGGGGUAGGAUUUGUAACGCCCACUUUGUAGAAAAAAAAUCUAGAAAGAGAAAUCAUAUUGCUCUAUAGAUAUUGUGUUAUCUCUAUUCAUUAUCACAUGUGAACACCAUAUUUAAAGAAAAACAAAUAACUAUUAAGAUAUAUGCUACCAAAAAUAUGCAUCAUGCUGGAAUUUUCUUUUGUGUGCACAUUGUGACAAGAUAAAAUAAUAAUGUGACAAAGAGUAUAUUAAAAAGUCCAAAGUGGAAUUUAAAACCUAAAAAGAGAUUCUAGAAUUUAGAAAAGAGAAGCAAACAAAUAUUAUGUGAUAUAAAAAUAUAAAUUAUAUAUAUAUCUCCAAAUUGAAAAUUAUCAUGACAAAAUAUAAUCUAAGGAUAAAUUUGUCACAAGUUUGAAAUUAAACUAGAAUUUAAAUUUGAAUUUGGAAAAAAAGGAAAUGGAAAAUAAAAAGAAAAGAAACAUCCCUUGGUCGGAUGGGCCAAAUCCACCCGGCCCAUCUCACUCUCCCCUCUAUACGGCCCACCUUGGCCCUACGCUCGCGCAAACGUGCCUAACACAGACACGCGGUCCCACCACACAUGCCUACCGUGUGAUCCCCCACGUGCACUUGAGUCCACCUGCAGCCUCUAUCCCCGUCGGACACCCUUUCCAGUGCAUGAGCAUGUGCGCGCCUGGGAGACCUCUCACUGCUCAUGGGGCCCACAAGACUGCGUCUCGUACCAAGCUUGCGCACUCAAUGCCGGGUGGGGCCCACCUGUCGGGUCCUCUUCCCUGUUGAACCGGAAGCCGCCUGGGCGCUGGGUUGUUGAGAUUCUGCCUGAUCUCCGGACCGGCCGCCGCCAGACCAGGGGAUCCUCAGCCGGCGCUCGUAAAUGAUCCGGGGGGGCAUCGCAUGUGGCCGCGUGAAGUGCAGGGUCUCCUUGACCGAAUCGCCGCCAUUGCCGCAGCUCCGCCGAUGCCUGCGGACGUCCCAACCGCCUCCCCGCAGUAAUGAAAUAAGAGCUGAUCGUCUGCGCGCCCAUCUCGCUAUAGUUUAGACGCCAUCGCCAACAGAGUGUCUCGCUGGUGAGAGAAUCGCCGAGCGCCGCCAACAGCCGGGCGGGGUAGAGGAGAAAAGUUGUGCGCCGCCGCGGGUUAGCUCGGCUCACAUCGCCGUUUGUGCCCUCGGUUGCUGGCCGGGGGUCCUCCCUGUGUCUCUUGGGGGAUGCCCGGGGCCUCGUCGGGUGAAGUUGACACCUGUGGUGCUUGGAAUUGCUCGCCAGAACCGAGCGGAUUCGGCGAACCCGCACCGUGCCGCGAACGACUACGCUUGACCUCUCAAUCACCGGUAAAUACUACCUUCGUAUUUUCGCGCUAGUUCGUCCUUCCUCUUGCGCUGGUUCAGUCGUGGUUUGGUGCACCCUGAACACGUAUCCACUACACCGGCGAGGUUGGGGAAUGACGCCGCCGUGUGGAGACCUGGCCACCGCGUGUUGGGGAAUUAGGCGAGGGAGAGAGCCUGUCCGUUCGUCCAGGAUCGAACGGCGUGGAUUAGAUGCAGCUGGACGGUAGGUCGUUGUGCGCUACGCCAUUGGAUGUAAGUUGGGCGGCUCAGAUCUGGUGGAGAGCACCGUUUCAGACAGGGUAGCGUGGAUCGUUCGAUUUGAUCGGAGGGCUGUGGUUGGGGCACAUCUUCGUUAAACCUCGACCACAGAUCUCAGAUCGUGCGCACCAGAACAGAUCGCGACAUUUUAAAAUCGGGGGCCAUCGGAUCGUGAUCCAGUGGCCCAUAAUGCACCGUACCCCUUCGGUUGCGCGUUUUACAGAAAAAAACCCGCAGAAUUACACAAACAACCCGCGGUCCACGGCAAUGUUAGCCUGAGUCUUAGGACAUUUCCCGUGGACGCCCCUGCGCAUUUCUGUAAUUGAGGCCCAGUCCAGAGAAUGUUAAAAUCAG
rnacentral:lncRNA from 1 species